UUGACUCCCAAAACUAGAGAAUCUAAUCAGUUUGGGAGUCAAAUUAUGUGUACUUGUUAAAACAGAUUGCUGUCCCUUUUUUUCUGCCUCCCUGCAUUUUCUGAUGCAGUAGGUCUAUCUGUGCCUGAUAAUUGGCAUUUCUAACAAGUUUCCAGGUGAUGCUGAUGCCCUUGAACUGUAGUUGGAGUACCACUAGGUUACACUACAUGAAUUUCUUCAGAGUAAUGUUUUUGAUACUGUGGUAGACACAUGGUAAGUGUAAUGGGUUCACUUGUGUUCUUCAAAAAGUCCUAUCUCCCAAUACUUCAGAAUGUUAUCUAUUUGUUAAUAGUCUUUGCAGAUUUAAGUAGUUAAAAUGAGGCCAGAGUGGAAUAGGAUGGGCCCAUAAUCCAAUGUGACUGGUGUCCAUAUAAAAAAAAGACACAUAGAGGCACAGGCAGAGGGAGAACACCAUGUGACUACAUAUGCAGAAAGAAAAUGAAGUCUUGCAGCUGGUCAAGGAACAUCAAAGAUUUCCAGCAAACCAACCAAAGUUAAGAAGAAGCAUGGAAGGAUUCUGCCCAACAAGCUUCAGAUGGUGCAUGACCUUGAAGACAUCCUGGAUUUUGGAUUCCUAGCCUCCAUAACUGUCAGAUGAUAGGUUUUUGUUGUUUUUAAGGUGCCUAGUUUGUAAUGCUUUGUUCUAGAAGCCCUUGAAAAUGAUUACACUAAAGUUACUCCCAAUCUGUCAUGCCCUUGUAUAAUCCUGAGUAUGGGUAGAACCAACAUUUCAAACUGACAGGGAAUAGCAAAUAUGAUUGAAUGUCACUGCUAUGAUUAAGCUGUAUCACAUAAGACUAUUCUUAGCAGACUGGAAAGAGAAAUUUUUUUCUGUUGGACUUAAAGAAGCAAACUGCCAUGUGGUAGCUUAGAACAUGAGAUGGCCCUAGGACAAACUUCAGCCAGUAGCCAGUAAGAUUGAGGGAGCCGCAAUCCUAUUACCACAAAGAAAUGCAUUCUGCUACUACAUGAAUGGGCUUAUUGAUUAGAGAGGACAUUCUCUAGUCAAUGGUGUGGAUAUGACACUGUGGGAUCUCUUAUGCAGUAUUGAUCAGAUCUCAGCCAAGGCUAUAGUAAUCUGAUGAUUCUUCUGGGCUGAACAUUUGCAGUAACUCAUUCCUGUGGCUGGGAGUUGAUGCUGGCUAUCUAUUGGGAGCUCAGCUCAAUCUGUUGACUGCAGCACUUAAUAUGCACCUUGUGUACUAUAGUGGUUUCUGAACCGUUCUUAUAAGGUGGCUGAUCCCCAAGAGCAAGUGUCCCAAGAG
rnacentral:lncRNA from 1 species